rnacentral:rRNA from 1 species
GACGAACGCUGGCGGCGUGCUUAACACAUGCAAGUCGAACGGUAAGGCCCUUCGGGGUACACGAGUGGCGAACGGGUGAGUAACACGUGGGUGACCUGCCCUGCACUUCGGGAUAAGCCUGGGAAACUGGGUCUAAUACCGGAUAGGACUCCUGGCUUCAUGGUUGGGGGUGGAAAGCUUUUGCGGUGUGGGAUGGGCCCGCGGCCUAUCAGCUUGUUGGUGGGGUUAUGGCCUACCAAGGCGACGACGGGUAGCCGGCCUGAGAGGGUGACCGGGCACACUGGGACUGAGAUACGGCCCAGACUCCUACGGGAGGCAGCAGUGGGGAAUAUUGCACAAUGGGCGCAAGCCUGAUGCAGCGACGCCGCGUGAGGGAUGACGGCCUUCGGGUUGUAAACCUCUUUCAGCUAUGACGAAGCGCAAGUGACGGUAGUAGCAGAAGAAGGACCGGCCAACUACGUGCCAGCCGCCGCAGUAA